rnacentral:lncRNA from 1 species
UAUACAGAAGAACCUAAAAUGAGAGCUUUUGCCUGCCUAAGUCCAGGAGCAGAUCUUCAGUAAAUGAGAUGCUAAGCUGUUAAACAGUCCCUGACAACCUGCCCAAAUGCAACAGAUCAGAUGCCCAAAGGCAAGCUCGGGUCCAAUAAAGGGACAAGAAGCUCCUUCCUUGGCAAUUAUGUGUUAAAAAAAGCAGUAAAUGAACACAUAGUUAAAAUAUUGUUUAUCUUAACUGACUUAGCCAAAAUUUUUGUACAAUUGGCAAUAUUUUUUUCAAUUACAAAUUUUAGAGUGCACAAUAUGAAAAUUUCAUGUUUUACUUAAAAUUUCAAAAAUAAAAUUAUUUCAUUCCAAAUAUGAAGGUUAACGAAU